rnacentral:tRNA from 1 species
GCCGCAAUGGCUCAGUUGAUAGAGCGUCCGCCCAGUAAGCGGAGUGUCACUAAUCCGAUUCAAGUUCGCGGCU